UUGCCUAUGAGGAUAAAAAUUCACCAAAUACCAUCUUUCGGGACUGAAUGGCUUCCGGGCCUUGCUGUUAAAAUUCUGCAAUUCUGAGGCUU